UUUUUUCAAAUUAUACUAUUUCGAAAUUCAAACCCUAAACCCUAAAACUCAACUCUAAACCCUAAACCAUCAAUCCCAAACACUAUUUUUUUAAAAAAAUUCAAACCCUAAACCCUAAAUCAUCAAUCCUAAACCCUAUACUUUUUCUGAAAUACGUACCCUAAACCCCGAAACAUCAACUUUAAACCCUAAACCCCAAAAUAUCAACUCUAAACCCUAAACCCCGAAACAUCAACUCUAAACCCUAAACCCUAAACCUUCAACUCUAAACCCUAAAACAUCAACUCUAAACCCUAAACCCUAAACCUCAACUCUAAACCCUAAACCCUAAACCCUAAACUCUAAACCCUAAAUCCUAAACCCUAAACCCUAAAUUCU
rnacentral:lncRNA from 1 species